GACGAACGCUGGCGGCGUGCUUAACACAUGCAAGUCGAACGGAAAGGCCUGCUUUCCCUUGUGGAUUGCGGGUACUCGAGUGGCGAACGGGUGAGUAACACGUGAGUGAUCUGCCCCCAACUUGGGUAUAAGCCUGGGAAACUGGGUCUAAUUCCCGAUAGGACUGCAGGGUGGUGCCUGUGGUGGAAAACGAUUUUCUAGUGGUUGGGGAUGAGCUCGCGGCCUAUCAGCUUGUUGGUGGGGUAAUGGCCUACCAAGGCGGCGACGGGUAGCCGGCCUGGGAGGGUGGACGGCCACAUUGGGGCUGAGAUACGGCCCAGACUCCUACGGGAGGCAGCAGUGGGGAAUAUUGCACAAUGGGCGGAAGCCUGAUGCAGCGACGCCGCGUGGGGGAUGACGGCCUUCGGGUUGUAAACUCCUUUCGACCGCGAGGAAGCCACCUGGUUGGAAGGGUGGUGACGGUAGUGGUAGAAGAAGCACCGGCUAACUACGUG
rnacentral:rRNA from 1 species